rnacentral:lncRNA from 1 species
AUCACUUGUAUGCAUUGUGAACUAUCUGUUGGUGCAGCAACUUGUGGUAGUGCCGGGGUAUUUGGGCUGAUGAUGUCAUCGGUGGUACAAUUAUUCCAAAAGGAGCCGUCAAUUGGCUUGGUGUCGUGGCAUUUUGUAUCCUUCUUCCUUCUGCUUGUGAUGGUCAUUCAGCUAAAAUUUGGGGGCCAACAGAGGUGGGGCAAAGAACCUCACCCCCCCCACUGGUACAAAGGCCUAUCCACAGGUGUGGCUGUACGCUGGACCAGUAGUCAAUGAUGGGUAAGAUCCAAUUGCAAUGGUACCAACCUAAGACAGGAGGCUGAUGCCUUGAGGUCAGCUCAUCCAAUGACGGGUAAGGACCAUAUGUAGUAUUGGACAACCUAAUACAGGCACAGUCCCUAAGCCACAUGCUUGUUGUUUAAUUAAACAGAGAAGGGGAGAUAUUGAGAGCCGCAGUGAAGCGGCCCCAGCAAACUUCCAGAUGAUUGGCUCCUCUGCGGUGAUGUUCAUUGGGCUGUUUCCCUGCCCUUUCAGACCACGGAGCUGCUCAUUGGGGGACUCUUUUGGCUCCACCCAUGCGACCCAGCCAAUUUGCCUCAAGAGCGGGGACCUAAGAGUUCUGGUUGAGGUGCUCGCCAGAAGAGCCGGUGGUGGCAGUUGGGCUCUCAGGAAAUUCCUGGAGAGCUCGUGUGGUGCAGCGUGCAUUCUAAAAAUAAAGUUCUUUCCUGCUUGACAAGUGGCUCGUGAAUUGUGCCCAGCCAGACUGCAGCAGAGAAUGAGGGUUGACAAUUGUAAGCUUAAUCAGGUGGUGACUCCAAUUUGCUGCUGUUGUAACAGGUGUGGUUUCUUUGAUUGAGUAGAUUAAUGCAUCUCCUGGUAUAUGGUAUGCAGCUAUUGAUUUGGCAAAUGCUUUUUUUCUUUGUUUCUGUACAUAAGGACCACCAGAAGCAAUUUGCUUUCAGCUGGCAAGGCCAGCAGAAUACCUUCACUGUCCUUCCUGAGGGGUAUGUCAGCUCUCCAGCACUGUGUCACAGCUUAGUUUGCAGAGAUCUGGAUCACCUUCCUCUUCCACAAUACAUUACAUUGGUGCAUUAUAUCAAUGACAUUAUGUUGAUUGGAAUAACUGAGCAAGAGGUAGCAACCACUUUGAAAUUGCUAGUGGAGCAUUUGUGUAUCAGAGGAUGGGAAAUAAAUCCCACUAAAAUUCAAGGGCCUUCAACUUCAGUAAAGUUUCCAGGAGUCCAGUGGCAUGGGGCCUGCUGAGAUAUCCCUUUUAAGGUAAAGGAUAAGUUGUUUCAUCUGGCCCCUCCUACAAAUAAGAAAGAAGCACAACACCUGGUGGACUUAUUUGGAUUUUGGGGGCAGCACAUUCCUCACAUGAGUGUGUUACUUCGGCCCAUCUACCAAAUUACUGGAAAGGCUUCUUGUUUUGAGUGGGGUCCAGAACAGGAAAAGGCUCAGCAACAGUUCCAGG